UUGAAGAAUAUGUUUAAAACUUCCAGUGGCAAAAGAAACCUGGGUUUUUGUGUGCAGAGGCUGCAAAUGCAGUGUCCUUGGGAGUGCGUGCAGCCUGUUGCCUAUAUGAGUUACCCUAAGGGACCUUGGAGACAAUU
ensembl:snoRNA LOC120099442 small nucleolar RNA SNORA70